CUAACAAAUACCAUGAGCACAUUUAUAUGGCCCAUAUUUUCAAACCAGAAAGAUGUACGCAUCUGAUAGAUUCGUUGUAAAGAAAUCAAGAGAAUAAGUAAACAACAAAAGUGAUAAUGUUAAAUUUACUCACAUUAAAAUAAACAAAAACAACAUCGAAACAACUCAUGUAGACACCCGUGGGCAAGCCCGUAGCUGUGAACUCGUCGGACACUUAGACAAAGUUGAAUAUCCUUGUACGACAGACAGAAGGUACAUAUUUAGCGGAGCACUUGCGAAAACACCAAAUGACAGGCCUACCGCUUAACAUAACCGGUUCCUGAAUUUGCAAGUUGCAUGUUGAUUGAAAAAAGUGCCUACUAAAUUUGUCAACUAUUUAAUUCAUAAUUGGCACUAUUUUCUAUCAACUUGUUAUUGAAUAUUAUCAGCAGAAUCUUGUUGAAAUUAUCCUGUCUGCAGCGUGACGUAACCGUUACGUAAACUGUCACUCCUCCCGCAUAGCACAGCUACCUAAGGAACCGACUCAGUUAAGCAGUAGGCCUAUAAUACACUGUUUUGUUCAAAAGACUGGCCUUCUUUAUUUCAGAACUAAUUUGAAACUAAAAAAAUAAUCUACGUAAUAAAAAAAA